UUGUAAUCUUCCAUGACAGGUGCUGAUCAUAGCAAAUUCAAAAAGGAAAGGGGAGAGAGAGAGAGGAGGGAUGAUGAUAUAUUCUAUGCAGGAAAAUUGCGCUGCAUUCCAUAAUUUCACCACUUGAAGGGGAAGCAUCCUACCUAUUUGGUUGUUCUUGCAAAAAUCUCCACCGAGAACAGGUGGCGAUAGCGACUAGAAAAAUACAAGAAGGAGAAGAAGAAAAGCGGUGUUGAUGUGUAGGAAUGCACUGUAUUCCAGUAUUUUACCAUUUGGAUUAGGGGAAGCAUCCUACCUGUCUGGUUUCCGAAAGCUAAAGUGACGCAUCGUGUUGUUGAAGCCUUGA
rnacentral:lncRNA from 1 species